CCUACGGGGGGCAGCAGUGGGGAAUAUUGCACAAUGGGCGAAAGCCUGAUGCAGCAACGCCGCGUGAGCGAUGAAGGCCUUCGGGUCGUAAAGCUCUGUCUUUAAGGAAGUUAAUGACGGCACUUGAGGAUGAAGCCCUGUCUAACUACGUGCCAGCAGCCGCGGUAAUACGUAGGGAGCUAGCGUAAUCCGGAUGUACUGGGCGUAAAGGGUGCGUAGGGGGUUUCUUAAGUCAGAGGUGAAGGGUUACGGCUAAACCGUAGUAAGCAUUUGAUACUGGGAAACUUGAGUGCAGGAGAGGAGAGUGGAAUUCGUGGUGUAGCGGUGAAAUGCGGAGAUAUUAGGAGGAACACCAGUUGCGAAGGCGGCUCUCUGAACUGUAACUGACACUGAGGCACGAAAGCGUGGGGAGCAAACAGGAUUAGAUACCCCUGUAGUC
rnacentral:rRNA from 1 species